UUGUCUCAAAGCUUAAGCCAUGCAAGUCUCAGUACAAGCCUAAUUAAGGUGAAACCGCAAACGGCUCAUUAAAUCAGUUUUAGUUCACUUGAGCUUUGACCGAUACGUUGAUGGAUAACUGUGGCAAUUCUAGAGCUAAUACAUGCAACCAAGUCCUGACCAAUUGUGGAAGGGACGCUUUUAUUAGAUCAAAAUCAAUCGGACUUGUCCGCUUGACCUUGGUGACUCUGAAUAACACGGUAGAUCGCACGGUCUCCGUACCGGCGACGCAUCUUUCAAAUGCCUGACUUAUCAACUGUCGAUGGUAGAUUUUACGUCUACCAUGGUUGUAACGGGUGACGGGGAAUCAGGGUUCGAUUCCGGAGAGGGAGCCUGAGAAACGGCUACCACAUCCAAGGAAGGCAGCAGGCACGCAAAUUACCCACUCCCGGCACGGGGAGGUAGUGACAAAAAAUAACGAUACGGGACUCAUCCGAGGCCCCGUAAUCGGAAUGAGAACACUCUAAAUCAU
rnacentral:rRNA from 1 species